rnacentral:lncRNA from 1 species
AGAAUUUAACAAUCUACUCUGAAGCAAGAGGAAGGCACUAAAAUUUAUUGCAGUAUAACAGUGACAUGAUCAAAAAGUGAAGAUGAAGAGUCAUGUUCCUUGGGAAUGCAAAGCUGAAAUGUUGAGUACUUUGAGGAAUGACAAAAAGAUCACAAGUUAAGAAAUUGUGGAUAAAUUUGGAGAGAGAAGUUUCAACUGAUUUAUGAUGUUAAAAGACAAUUUUCACAGGAUUAAAGAGAAGACAGGAGGAGGAGAUAAGAGAAACCAAUGGGGCUUAUUGAAAAGAGGGCAAUUUGAGGAAUGUGGAGGUAAGACUCUAAACCUGAGUAAAUAAAAUGGAAAGUAACA